GCUCUCCCCCCAUCCAUCGGAGACCAAACAUCUCACCAUCUCCUCUUCACACUCCAUCCAAACAGACUCCUUCACCGCCUCCUCUUCAUCCAAAACUGCUUCGGCUUCUUCACACAACCUAUCACCGAUCUUCCAAACCAUCGGCGGCGCCACCAACGACAACUUUUCAGGUCCUUCAGAUGGAUUAACGAUUCUCAACCGUCCUUCACCGUCAGCGAUUUCAAAUUCUCAACUCAAUCUUCUGAUUCUCCUCCAUCACUGAGUUCAAAAGCCUGUAGAAACAUUUUGGAAGUGGACAAGGAGGAUAAACAUAUAGGUAAGAUAGUAAUUGUUUCUGUGUUAAAUAUAUACGUUUUAUAAGAUUGAGUUGUCUAUUGACAUAGUGAGCUUUUGUUGUGUUUCACAUAUGUAAUUGGCCAUGUCGUUGAAAGAGACACUUUGAAGGUUAAGGAAGUCAAUGGCAAGAGGAGCAAACUGCUUGACAUAACAUUGGAGGACCUUGAGAAAGGGUUGUUGAGUGCAAUGACUCCAGUAAGUUCUCCAUAAAGGAUGCAGUUGAAGAAACCACACCUAAAACUAAGAAGAUCGUUGGUAAGAGGGUUGCUGAUAGUGUUGGGUCUGCUACAAAGGAUGUUGAAGAUGUUGGUGAGAAAUCAAUCACCAAACCUACGAAGCUUAACUGUGUCAAACAAGAGAAUGAUGCUUAAGAUUUUGUGGUCGUGUUCCGGUGUUUCCUAACUUUAAUCAAGUCAGGGACUUUGUUGGUUUAGUCUUUGUGUUUUUUUAUUUUUAUUUAUUUCUGUCAUAUUUCUGUUUUGAUGUAACAUUUGAAACUUAUUUGGUGUGCACUAACACCUUUUGGUAUCCGUCUGUUAGU